rnacentral:rRNA from 1 species
UGGGGGAUAUUGCACAAUGGGCGAAAGCCUGAUGCAGCGACGCCGCGUGGGGGAUGAAGGCUUUCGGGUUGUAAACCUCUUUCGCUAUCGAACAAGGCCCGCUUAGGGUGGGUUGAGGGUAGGUGGAGAAGAAGCGCCGGCUAACUACGUGCCAGCAGCCGCGGUAAUACGUAGGGCGCGAGCGUUGUCCAGAAUUAUUGGGCGUAAAGGGCUUGUAGGCGGCUUGUUGCGCCUGCUGUGAAAACGCGGGGCUUAACUUCGCGCGUGCAGUGGGUACGGGCAGGCAUGAGUGUGGUAGGGGUGACUGGAAUUCCAGGUGUAGCGGUGGAAUGCGCAGAUAUCUGGAGGAACACCGAUGGCGAAGGCAGGUCACUGGGCCAUUACUGACGCUGAGGAGCGAAAGCAUGGGUAGCGAACAGG